GAGGGUAUAGCUCAGUGGCAGAGCACAUGCUUAGCGUGCACAAGGUCCUGGGUUCAAUCUCCGGUACCUCCA
rnacentral:tRNA from 1 species